AAACAUAUUGUGAAGGAGGGGAACAAUAGUUAAUUAGGAACAAAUUUUAUAUAUGGUCCAUAUGCUGUUUGUAGUACAUGUCUAGUGGGUUAAAUAUUAGUAGGAGGACUAGUAUUUACCGAGUGUGGAUUUUGUAUACCCAAGCAUGGGUGUGGGUGUACACUUUGCCGUUUAUUGGGUGUUGGAGAUUCGUGCGAAGGCAGGGUCGAUGGAACAUUUUCCUCCAUUUCUCUCAUUUUCCUGUCGCGUCGCUGCAUCCUUUUCUCCUGUCGUGUCGGGUACAGCACCAGAGGCUGCACUGACUCUGUCCAGAAGUGGUAGGGCGCGGUUCUCCACCCCAUACCUCUCUGCCCUGAUUUUCCUCGUGCUGUAGCCGCCCCCGUCCACACCGCGCGGCCGACGCGCAGGUAAAGCACGCACGCCGUUCGCCGUGCGCCAUCGCCGUGCGAGCCGGGCACACUGCGACGCUGACGCGCAGGUAGAGCACGCCGUCGCCGUCGCCGUCGCCAGCGAGUCGGCCACACCGCGCCGCCGACGCGGACGCCGUCGCCGUGCGUCGUCGCCGUUGCCAGCCAUUGCUCCUUGGUGCCCGGGUCGCCAUUGCUCCUCGUCGCCGGCGAGAAUCAAGUUUUCUCUAUCCGCCCCCAACCUUCCCCGCUCGCGGACCGAGCUGCGCCGCCCUUUUUUAGCCGCCGUCGCGGCUGCUGUGCGGUGCAUCCAGUCAGCCUCCCGUCCUCUCCGCCGUGCGGUCGGCGCGGCUGCUCUACGUUGCAGCUACUCCACCACUCGCCCUCUCCGUCGGGCAACCGGCGCUCAGUCUCUCGCUGCCGGGGCAUCCGUUUCCUUUUGUCUCCUCCUCUCUUUUUUUCACUCCCUGAUGUAUGACCUUGGGCUACACUUGCAGGUAAUCUCCGGCGGGGCAAGUCCAGCCCUCACCCUCGACACAGAUGGUGCCACCGUCUGUGCCGAAGAAGCGCAAGGUGCAUCUCCCGGAGAACGAGGUGCUCGCGCGCAGGAUGCUCGAGAAGCACAGCUCGUUAGCAUCAUGCUUGCCGGCGCCUAGCCGCCUACAGCGGUGUCUGCCUCGCCAAGCAUCCAUUCUAGACUCUCCGCGACUUAUCCCGUAUACUAGUACACAUUUGUCCACCUCUCAACUUUUCUCCUUCACGCUGCUGCGAUGAGUGUGUGUAAGGAGACUAUGUUUUGGUCGAUUCUGGGUCAUGUUCUCUGAUCGGGCGCAAAAUGUCGCACUUCUCUUCCGUAGUCAGACACAAAUCAGAGGUCUCUUCCGUAUUCAGCUCCUUAAGAAGAGACGUUGACAGUUGAUAUUUCGUCAGGGAAAUGCUGGUGCAACAACGCUGGGCUGUUCAGUUGAAGAGAUUAUGUGCCAGUUAUCUUGAGUUUUAUCUUAACGGAACCUUUUUGCCGACUCAUUUGACAUUUACUCUGUUCUUCUUAUGUUCCAGUUUAGAAGGAUUUCAUUUUUUCAUCUAAUGAAUCAAGAUAAUCAUGUACACAAUCACAAAUGUAGGAAUCUUUGGUGAGAUUCCAUUGCAGCGCGCUCCACGCCACUGCAAUUGAAAUCUGCAUUUUGCUCAUCCCGUUCAUGGCCUCGUAGAACAUGGAGAUACCGGCGGCGGGAAUGAGCUUGACGCAGCAGGGACCGAGCCACCGAGGCCAUGGUGCAUCCAAUACCGGUGCCAUUUUUACUGAGAAUGCAGUACACGGCGCGCAUGAUGAUCUUGUACACAUGUCGACGAGGGCGCCCGUGAAGGUGAGCGCCUCGGCUGUCGAUGAAGGGCCGCCACCCACCACGGCCACACGCAUCAGGCGCGCCGGGCGGAGGAGGAUCAAGAGAUGGAGAGGCAAACUGGAGAGCGGCAACUAGUGGGCGGCGCAUGAGAAGAGGCUCGGGGAGAGGAGGAGGACGACGCGCCGUCUUCUCGCCCGCGUGCAAGAGUACGCCAUGGUUCAUGUCCUGCCGAUGUACAUGCCGCCAUGCUUUGAGUCAACAUGCUCUAAGGUGACUCCAUGUCUGCCCGGCUCGUCCUCCGCCGCGGCCGCAUCCUCCGGCGGAGCCGCCACCGCCGCCGCCCCCGAAUCCGGCGCCGCCGCAUCCGCCGCCAGUGCCGCUGCGCAGAGAAGACUGGGACAUGGUGCUUCUCUGAUGCAGAGUGGAUGAGAUGGUGGUGGACAAGAGGGGAAUCGGGAGGAGAGGUGCUGGUCGCAGCCGGCCGCUGUCGGGUGAGAGAGGAAAAGCAGUUUGAUGUUGUCAUGAAAACUAUCCCUUUUGUAAUAGGCAGGGGUCUUAUGUCUUGCCCUUU